GUGCCAGCAGCCGCGGUAAUACGGAGGGUGCGAGCGUUAAUCGGAAUUACUGGGGCGUAAAGCGCGCGUAGGUGGCUUGAUAAGCCGGUUGUGAAAGCCCCGGGCUCACCUGGGAACGGCAUCCGGAACUGUCAUCGCUAGGAAGUGCAGGAGAGGAAGGUAGAAUUCCCGGUGUAGCGGUGAAAUGCGUAGAGAUCGGGAGGAAUACCAGUGGCGAAGGGCGGCCUUCUGGACUGACACUGACACUGAGGUGCGAAAGCGUGGGUAGCAAACAGGAUUAGAUACCCUGGGUAGUCC
rnacentral:rRNA from 1 species